rnacentral:rRNA from 1 species
AAUAUUGCACAAUGGGCGCAAGCCUGAUGCAGCCAUGCCGCGUGUAUGAAGAAGGCCUUCGGGUGUAAAGUACUUUCAGCAGUGAGGAAGGUGGAUAUGUUAAUAGCAUAUUCAUUUGACGUUAGCUGCAGAAGAAGCACCGGCUAACUCCGUGCCAGCAGCCGCGGUAAUACGGAGGGUGCGAGCGUUAAUCGGAAUUACUGGGCGUAAAGCGCAUGCAGGUGGUUUGUUAAGUCAGAUGUGAAAGCCCGGGGCUCAACCUCGGAAUUGCAUUUGAAACUGGCAAACUAGAGUACUGUAGAGGGGGGUAGAAUUUCAGGUGUAGCGGUGAAAUGCGUAGAGAUCUGAAGGAAUACCGGUGGCGAAGGCGGCCCCCCUGGACAGAUACUGACACUCAGAUGCGAAAGCGUGGGGAGCAAACAGGAUUAGAUACCCUGGUAG